rnacentral:rRNA from 1 species
UACGUAGGCAGCGAGCGUUGUUCGGAGUUACUGGGCGUAAAGGGUGUGUAGGCGGUUGUUUAAGUUUGGUGUGAAAUCUCCCGGCUCAACUGGGAGGGUGCGCCGAAUACUGAGCGACUAGAGUGCGGGAGAGGAAAGUGGAAUUCCUGGUGUAGCGGUGAAAUGCGUAGAUAUCAGGAGGAACACCAGUGGCGAAGGCGACUACCUGGCCUGUUCUUGACGCUGAGGCGCGAAAGCUAGGGGAGCAAACGGG